UUAUAAGAGACAGCAGCAGCCGCGGUAAAACGGAGGGAGCUAGCGUUGUUCGGAAUUACUGGGCGUAAAGCGCACGUAGGCGGCUUGGUAAGUUAGAGGUGAAAGCCCGGAGCUCAACUCCGGAAUUGCCUUUAAGACUGCCGAGCUAGUAGGUGAGAGAGGUAAGUGGAAUUCCGAGUGUAGAGGUGAAAUUCGUAGAUAUUCGGGAGAACACCAGUGGCGAAGGCGGCUUACUGGCUCAUUCUAGACGCUGAGGUGCGAAAGCGUGGGGAGCAAACAGGAUUAGAUACCCGCGUAGUCCCUGUCUCUUAUAC
rnacentral:rRNA from 1 species